rnacentral:lncRNA from 1 species
CCGUCUUCUGAUCCCUUAGCCUGUGUGUGACACUCUCCAGGCAAACAGUGUUAGAGCUGAGUUAAACGGCAGGACUCUGAGCUGCUCUCACCCGAAUUAAUUUGUGGGGAGCUCCCUCCCCCCCCCCCCGCCAUUUGGAGACCAGAAGUGUGAGAAUUGUUCUGCGUGAGCGGUAAAGACCCACCUGAAAGACACACAUAGCAAAGAACUGUAGCUUUUCCUUUACAGAUGGGAUGGGAGGGGGAACGCCAUUUCCCCUAGUGACCCACUGUCAAAGGUUUUGCCUCCUGUCCCCAUGCAUUUAUGCACUGCUGGGUCGGAGGUCUUAGCUCCUGAGGGACGAGUGCUUCGGCCAGAUGGCCCAGCAAGGAUCCCAGGGAACUGUAAGUUCGGACGGCCGCCUGACCACUUUGGCCUCUUAGCCCUGAGUCCGAAGGCCCAAAAGAGAGUUCCAGUGUGGGCUAGAGGGACGGAUCCUAACUACAGGGGACACUGGACGCCGCUCCUCGGUGGAGGAAUCUGUGCAUCGCAGUGUCCAGUGCUGACUCGGUGACCUGGCCUUUAAGUACCGGUCAUUUCACAUCCCAGUGUUUAAGCUACAGGGUUUCCCAGGUUUUCCUCCCAGCGGACGGGCAGCUUCAGAUGCUGUGUGUGCCACUUGGACGUCGCAGUGAAUUGAACGCUUAGAAGAAGAGUAAAGGGCACCCACGGACUUUUCUCCUCCUCCAGGGAAGAGGUGAGUUUUCAGGGAUACCCAGGGAAGCGGGACCAGGUUAGGUGAAAUUGUGACUUUGUUAGAUUGUUUUUCAUUGGAGAGGAAACGUGGUUUAAGGAGCGCAGUACGGGGGCCAGGCUGACACGGGUGGGUUUGUAAUAGGUGAAUGUAUGUGUCAACCUGACUGGAUCAGAGGAUACGCAGAAAUCUGUCUGAACGUCAUUUCUAGGUCUGUCUGUGAGGGUGUCUGCAGAUGAAAUUAGUAUGGGAAUCAGCAGACCUGGCGAAGCAGGCUGUCCUCUUCUCCGUGGCUCUGCAUUAUCCAGUCCAUCGAGGGCCUGAGUAGAAGAAAAAGGCAGAGGAGGGAGGAAUUCUCCCCUCCCCAGAUUUCUGCCUCGCUGCUUGAGCUGGGUCAUCUCACCUCAUCUGCUGCUGCCUUCAGCCUGGGGUUUUACCUUGUUGGCUCCUCUUGAUUCUCAGGCCUUUGGACUCUGACUGAAUUGUGCCAGUGGCUUUUCUGGGUCUCCCCUUUGCAGAUUGCACGUUAUGGGACUUCUCAGCCUCGGUACCCACACCACAUAAGCUAGUUCCUCAAAACGGAUCUUUCAUAUCCUGUUGGUACUAUUGUUUCUGAAGACCUCUGACUGAUAGAAACCUGGAGAUUUCUUCUGAAGGUUGAAAUUAUAAAUUUCAAUACUUGGGUCAUUAUCAGACGAUUCAUCUUGGAUGAAGUUUCGUAGUUUCAAAUCGGUGUCGGG